GACAUGGCUUUGGAAAGGACCAACUUUGCACUGGCAGUACUGAAGGAUUCAGUAUUUGAUAUGGACAACAACUGUGCCAUGUGCUCUGCCUCAAAGCCCCCGGGAACAGGGCCUCCGACUACUCAUUGGAUACAGUGUGACACUUGCGGACGAUGGUACCAUGAG